AGCAGUGGGUCCUUUCCUCUCUUCCACGUACGACACCGUCUAAACGUCUGAGACAAGUACGCGAUCCCCAAGCCAGUGUGCUUCCCACCGAUGGAACAGGCUGGUGAGAACCCGGGUCCACGCCGCAGAGCGAGACACAAAGGGCUGGAGUAAGCGCCACCUUCCUCGGCCCGAGGCAGCUUGUGAAAGGCAGUUCGCGGCGUGACGCGCUUACCGCGAAAUUCCUUUUGCCGCCAUAUGCACUCGAGUCUAGUGCGAGCACAGUUGGGCCGAAACCCAGCGGCGGGCGAUGCACCGGGAUCCGCGCGCUGUUCGCGAGGGUGCGGAGCAGUCCCGCACCCGGAGCCGGGCUGUCGCGGGGGUUGGGAGAGAUGAAGACGGGCUACAAGAGAUCUCCGCGCGUUUUCCUCCUCGCGUGGAGCGGACCAGUUUAUAAGCGUUUUGCCGCAACGUUUGGGGCCAGGUGCGGGGGAGGGGAGACCAGGGCGCAAGGGUCCUGCGCAAGCAGUGGCCUUUUGUUCUCCCGCCCCACCGGACCAGGCUCUAGAGGAAGUAGCCUAUCACUGGCUCUUCAUUCGGGAGAGAGCCUCCAGAGAGGGAGAGGAAAGUGAGUCACUGCCAGCAUCAUCCCACUAACCGGAACGGAGACAGGGGCCGAGCCCGUGGAGGUGCAGCCAACGUGCACCUGUUUACCGCGCUGGGGAGCCGGUCUCCGAGGCUCCGCUGCCGGCCAGUCCCAAGAUGCAGACUGAUUCACUCCUCGGUGUACCUUAUGCCCCUUACAUCGCAUGCUUGGUUCCUAAUUCGCGAAAGUGACACCAGAUCUGGUGGCACACUCCAUCACCAUAAAACCAGGUCUACAAAGUAAGGUACUGUACGCCACGGCGGUAUCUGGAGUCCCUGCGUUCAGGGAAGGGCACCGGACUCCUGCCUUCUAGAAAGGCGCCGCGACGCUCUGCCCGUGUCCACGAGACAUGGAGGCUGUCUGAGUUACCUCCUUCCCUUCCUGUUCAAACUCCCCUUCCCUCCAAGUCGCCGCUCCCUCUGCCCUCCAAAAGCACCUUACCUCGAGAAAUAAAGGGAAAGGCGCCACCAAAGUGUCCGCCCUUCCAGGCCGUCCCCGGCA
rnacentral:lncRNA from 1 species